UGAAUUAGGAUUGUUGAAAUUUUUGCAUUUAGGCGCUAUGUUUCUAAACUUAUUAUUUGAUCGAAAGUGAUGAUAUAAAUGUUAGGAAUAAUGUAGAGUGCAAAUUUUAAAGUGCAUAAAAUAAAUGACAAAGAAUUAUAUUAGUUCCCCUUACAAAUUUAAGAGUAUAUCUAGUCCCUCUAUCUUCUUAGAGGAUUUUUCACCAUGAUCAAAUGCUCUUUACAA
rnacentral:lncRNA from 1 species